CACCGACAUGAUGAUACACACCGAAUAUAGCAUAGUUCACACUGAAUCACAACGUGUCGAUAAACAUGCAUCUAAAGUCUUUCGCUCCUAUCUGAUCUCCU
rnacentral:snoRNA from 1 species